rnacentral:rRNA from 1 species
UAAGGAAUAUUGGUCAAUGGACGCAAGUCUGAACCAGCCAUGCCGCGUGGAGGAUUAAGGCCCUCUGGGUUGUAAACUCCUUUUAUCUGGGAAGAAAUGUACUUUUUCUUGAGUACUUGACGGUACCAGAGGAAUAAGCACCGGCUAACUCCGUGCCAGCAGCCGCGGUAAUACGGAGGGUGCAAGCGUUAUCCGGAUUCACUGGGUUUAAAGGGUGCGUAGGUGGGCAGGUAAGUCAGUGGUGAAAUCUCCGGGCUUAACCCGGAAACUGCCGUUGAUACUAUUUGUCUUGAAUAUUGUGGAGGUAAGCGGAAUAUGUCAUGUAGCGGUGAAAUGCUUAGAUAUGGCAUAGAACACCAAUUGCGAAGGCAGCGUACUACACAAUCAUUGACGCUGAGGCACGAAAGCGUGGGGAUCAAACA